rnacentral:misc_RNA from 1 species
GGAAUUAGCAAUCAUUUAUUUACUGCAUGUCAAUUUCAAGUUAUUGUACUUAAUGAGGCACUUUAUCCCUUCUAUGCUUCAAGAGUAGGAUUUUAAAACAUUAAAACAUUAUAUGAUAUGUUUUAAAACAUUAAAAAUAUCUGCCUUUUUCUUAAAGCAAAAGAGAGAACUUUCAUUGUGGAUAUCUAUAUGAUAUACGCAACAAAAUAUCCUCAAAUCUAAAAUGCCAAUAUGAAAAUAUUUCCUCAUAGUAGUACUAAUUAGCUUAGUCAAAAUUCUUGGCAAAAUUUU